rnacentral:rRNA from 1 species
UUAACUGAAUCCAUAGGUUAAUGAGGCGAACCGGGGGAACUGAAACAUCUAAGUACCCCGAGGAAAAGAAAUCAACCGAGAUUCCCCCAGUAGCGGCGAGCGAACGGGGAGGAGCCCAGAGCCUGAAUCAGUGUGUGUGUUAGUGGAAGCGUCUGGAAAGGCGCGCGAUACAGGGUGACAGCCCCGUACACAAAAAUGCACAUAUUGUGAGCUCGAUGAGUAGGGCGGGACACGUGGUAUCCUGUCUGAAUAUGGGGGGACCAUCCUCCAAGGCUAAAUACUCCUGACUGACCGAUAGUGAACCAGUACCGUGAGGGAAAGGCGAAAAGAACCCCGGCGAGGGGAGUGAAAAAGAACCUGAAACCGUGUACGUACAAGCAGUGGGAGCCUCUUAAUGGGGUGACUGCGUACCUUUUGUAUAAUGGGUCAGCGACUUAUAUUCUGUAGCAAGGUUAACCGAAUAGGGGAGCCGAAGGGAAACCGAGUCUUAACUGGGCGUUAAGUUGCAGGGUAUAGACCCGAAACCCGGUGAUCUAGCCAUGGGCAGGUUGAAGGUUGGGUAACACUAACUGGAGGACCGAACCGACUAAUGUUGAAAAAUUAGCGGAUGACUUGUGGCUGGGGGUGAAAGGCCAAUCAAACCGGGAGAUAGCUGGUUCUCCCCGAAAGCUAUUUAGGUAGCGCCUCGUGAAUUCAUCUCCGGGGGUAGAGCACUGUUUCGGCAAGGGGGUCAUCCCGACUUACCAACCCGAUGCAAACUGCGAAUACCGGAGAAUGUUAUCACGGGAGACACACGGCGGGUGCUAACGUCCGUCGUGAAGAGGGAAACAACCCAGACCGCCAGCUAAGGUCCCAAAGUCAUGGUUAAGUGGGAAACGAUGUGGGAAGGCCCAGACAGCCAGGAUGUUGGCUUAGAAGCAGCCAUCAUUUAAAGAAAGCGUAAUAGCUCACUGGUCGAGUCGGCCUGCGCGGAAGAUGUAACGGGGCUAAACCAUGCACCGAAGCUGCGGCAGCGACGCUUAUGCGUUGUUGGGUAGGGGAGCGUUCUGUAAGCCUGCGAAGGUGUGCUG